rfam:Ictidomys tridecemlineatus contig002297, whole genome shotgun sequence.
GGGGAUAUAGCUCAGUUGGUAGAGUGCUUGCCUUGUAAGCACAAGGCCCUGAGUUCGAUACCCAGCACCA